AAAAAAAUUGCCACCACUCACGGCUGCCUCAUUCUCGCCGAUUUUGGCGACGGCGGCGCCGAUGAGCCGGGCGCGGCGGGCCACCAGCCUCUCCGGAAGGGAUACGAAACGCUCGGCCGCGUGGAAGUCGCGUCCCAGAUUUGAAGCCUUUCUAAUCUGACAGGUGCACGCUCACCUUCUCGCCUCUGAUUAAUCGCUUCUAUCUCCGGGCCCGAGGCCGAGUGCCGUCGGAGCACCGGGCUCUGACAAUCCUAGAGGCGCAUCGUACACAUGCA
rnacentral:lncRNA from 1 species